GAUCCUGGCUCAGGGUGAACGCUAGCUACAGGCUUAACACAUGCAAGUCGAGGGGCAGCAUGGUCUUAGCUUGCUAAGGCCGAUGGCGACCGGCGCACGGGUGAGUAACACGUAUCCAACCUGCCGUCUACUCUUGGACAGCCUUCUGAAAGGAAGAUUAAUACAAGAUGGCAUCAUGAGUCCGCAUGUUCACAUGAUUAAAGGUAUUCCGGUAGACGAUGGGGAUGCG
rnacentral:rRNA from 1 species